CAUGGCGAUAGAACCUGAGAGCCUGGAGCCCGGGGGAGAGGGCCAGACUGGAAACAGACAUCCAGAAGUUGUAGAACCUAUUUAAUGCCUGGAGAGGCCGAGACAGACUAUCUAGGAAGAGAGGAAUACAGAUAAGAAAGGACCCUGGGCUGAGCCCCAGGAACUCCUAUAUUUAGAGGUCAGGAGAAGGAAAAGCUGGCAGAGGAGACAGGGGCCAUUAGGAAGCCUCACGUCCUGGAAGCAUCCUGCAACCACAUCUGCCUUGGACUGUCCUCAGCCAGGUCACCAGCUAAGCAGAGAGCCCCUCGGGUACUCAUCCAUGAUUAGUGCCAAGGACCACUACAAAGCCAAGUUUUGGACAAGCCAAGGACCUAGCAGGAGUCACGUUGUUUAAUCUUUACAUCAAGAGAACUUACAGGACACAUCUGCUCUGACGGGACCAUGCACAGCCACCAUCUAACAAUAAGUGCCCAAGGAAAAGAACAACGCAAGGGUCUGUGAAGACUGUCACUCCCAUCAUCAAGAGUAGUGUUGUCUUCCUCAGUUUUGGGAGGAUCCAAACAGAAACGACUUCCUCUUGGCCACUGAAACGAGGACCUUGAAGCCUGGACCAGCUACAUUUAUAGGAAUCCAAACAGCUGAGAGGGCAGCAGGCAGAAGGAAUGGUGCAGACAAGCAGAGGAUAAGAAUGUUUUCUGUACUAGAUUUUCUCGAAAGCUUUUU